GUGUCAGCAGCCGCGGUAAGACGUAGGAUGCGAGCGUUGUCCGGAAUUAUUGGGCGUAAAGCGUACGUAGGCGGUCAUCUAAGUCUGGGGUUAAAGACCAAGGCUCAACCUUGGGAGUGCCCUGGAUACUGGGUGACUGGAGGACGGCAGAGGAAAGUGGAAUUCCCAGUGUAGCGGUGAAAUGCGUAGAUAUUGGGAGGAACACCAGUGGCGAAAGCGACUUUCUGGGCCGUUCCUGACGCUGAGGUACGAAAGCCAGGGGAGCAAACGGGAUUAGAUACCCCAGUAGUCC
rnacentral:rRNA from 1 species